AGAGGCCCUCGGCAGCCGGGGUAGAAUGCUUGCCUUGUUGCUGCAGCAACGAAGCAAGCAUUCCGCCAGGCCUCUCACGCUGCCCGC
rfam:Myotis lucifugus cont2.10532, whole genome shotgun sequence.